GGGAGUCCUGCUUUGAAAGAGGUGGGGGGGGCUGGCAGGCCCACGAGGGACCCUUUAAGGAAUGGGGGGGGGCCACGUGCCUGUGCCUGUGCUUGCUUGCUCUGCAGCGCCAAUCAUCCUUUUAGCCCCCGGAGCCCAAGAGAGGAAGGAUGCUGACCCCACCGGGAGCCCCAGGGGGAGCCAGGGGCGGCACUGUUCCUGUGAGGGGGGGCUGUUCAGGAGAAGACACCCCCCCUUCUGGAGAGGGUGUUUUGCAGAGCACCAGGAAACAGCCGAGGCGUUUUUUUGGCGACUCCCAGGCGCCCGCACUCUCUGCGCCCGCCUUCUUUGGGACGGCGGCCGAACGCCAUCCGAGACCCACAGGCCAGUGCGUGGGCGUUCUCUGUGCUGAGGAGUUGCCUCCGGCUUCUGGCAACCUUGACGGAGUGGUUUUCAAGCCAAUGGCCCAAGAGGGGGGGAUCAAGCUGCCCACCAGCAAGGAGGCCGGCGAGAGUCCCCCAGGAGACCCCCAGGAGGAGGACGGGGAGGAUGAGGUGUUUGUCCCCAGCAGCAAGGACGGCCCUGGGCCCAAGCCCCGCCCGGCCCCGAUCCCUCUGAGCAGCAGCGUGGAGGAGCUGUAUGAGCUGCUGGAGCAGCUGGGCAGCGGGCACUUUGGGGUGGUGAGGCGCUGCCAGGAGCGGAGCACGGGCGCUUUCUAUGCUGCCAAGUCGGUGAAGGUGCGCCGCCGGAAAGGCAGCCGGCUGGGCCUGGACCGCCAGCAGGUGGAGCGGGAGGUCGGGAUCCUGCGGCAGCUGCGCCACCCGAACAUCAUGCGCCUCCACGACCUCUUCGCCAGCACCGCCGAGAUGGUCCUGAUCCUGGAGCUCAUCCACGGGGGCGAGCUGUUUGACUUCAUUGCGGAGAAGGAGACGCUGACGGAGGAAGAAGCCGUUCCGUUCCUGAAGCAGAUUUUGCUGGGCGUCUCGUACAUGCACUCCUGCCGCAUUGCUCACUUCGACCUCAAGCCCGAGAACAUCAUGCUGUUCCAGAAGGACGUCCCCCACCCCACCAUCAAGAUCAUCGACUUCGGCCUGGCACAGAAACUCGAGGAGGGGGUCACGUUCAAAAGUUUGUGUGGGACCCCUCAGUACAUUGCUCCUGAAGUGGUCCACUACGAGGCCCUGAGCACAGCCACGGACAUGUGGAGCGUCGGCGUCAUCACGUACAUCCUGCUGAGCGGCAUGUCCCCUUUCCAGGGGGAGACGGAUGCCGAGACCCUUGCCAACGUCGUCUCCGGAAACUACGAGUUCGAGGAGAAAUACUUCAGCCAGACGUCGGAGAUGGCCAAGGACUUCAUCCGGCAGCUUCUGCUGAAGGAGCCAGGGGACCGAAUGACGGCCAGCGAGUGCCUCGUCCACUCGUGGAUCAAGCCCUUGAGCCGCAAGCAGGCCACCCACCGCAGCCGCUCCUCCAUCAACAUGAAGAACUUCCGCAGGUUCAACGCGCGCCGAAAGUGGAAGCUCUCCUUCCACAUGGUCUCCGCCUGCAGCCGCCUGUGCCAGUUGAGCCGCCUGUGCCAGCAGAGGAGGAAGGAGGAAGAGGAAAACCUGCGGGACUGUGAGAGUGACCAGGAGGAGACGUCCGGAAGCCCCGUGGCCCUGCUCCGCAGGCGGAGAAGCAUCUCUUCCUGAACGGGGGGGGGGCUCGCUCACGUCGCCCCAGGAGGGCCCUCACCUUGCUUGGAGGGGGGCCUCUCACAUCGUUUUUCCUGAGUGAAGACGCCGGCCGGCCGGCUGGUCUUUUCAGCGUCAGGAACACGCCACCCAGAGGACGGAUCUGCGCUCCCCCCCCCGGCACCUCUUCCAGCCACCGGCCAGCGGUCUCCCUGUUGUGGUCCCAGCCUGACCAGGGGCUGUGGGACUGUGGGUGUGAGCGAAGGGAGGGUGGCCCCUUGGGUGGGCUAGAGUGGAGGGGGCGUUUCGGGGCUUCUUGGGAGGCCUUCUCCCUCCCUGCACAGCAGAGCAGGCGGCCUCCGUUCCUCCCCUGCCUUGACUCAUGCUUUAAGGAGCUCUGUUGCAAGUUACAGCCACAGGUGCCUUUUCAAGGCUAGGCAGUGUGUGUGUGUGUGUGGGGGGGGGAGCCCUUCCCAUCCCUUUCCCUCAGUGCCACGUUCCCCUUCGGUCCAAAGGGUCUCGAGUGAGGUCGGGGGCUGGACACGGUCAAGCAAUCCUCGCUUUUCUUUUACAUAAGGAGGUUUAAAAGGGACCAGAUACAUCACUUCUUUCUUUCAGUCCUGUUUUAUGCUGAAGUUGGUAAAUGUUAAUGCUGAGGGACGGGGCACCUGCUUUAGUCACACUCCAGCCGAGGGGCUCAGAAGGCGAGGAAGCCUUUG